rnacentral:rRNA from 1 species
CUAAUACCAGAUGUCUUCCCCGAGUCUCCUGGCUUGGCGAAGAAAGGGUUACCGGAUCGGGACGGCCUCGCGGCCUAUCAGCUAGUUGGCGGGGUAACGGCCCACCAAGGCGUCGACGGGUAGCUGGUCUGAGAGGAUGAUCAGCCACACUGGGACUGAGACACGGCCCAGACUCCUACGGGAGGCAGCCGUGGGGAAUCUUGCGCAAUGGGCGAAAGCCUGACGCAGCAACGCCGCGUGGGGGAUGAAUGCCUUCGGGUUGUAAACCCCUUUCAGCAGGAACGAUGAUGACGGUACCUGCAGAAGAAGGCCCGGCCAACUACGUGCCAGCAGCCGCGGUAACACUUAGGGGCCAAGCGUUGUCCGGAUUUAUUGGGCGUAAAGAGCUCGUAGUCGAUUGGUUAAGUCGGUUGUGAAAACUCCAGGCUUAACUUGGAGACGCCACCCGAUACUGCUCUGACUUGAGUUCGGUAGGGGAGUGGGGAAUUCCUGGUGUAGCGGUGAAAUGCGCAGAUAUCAGGAGGAACACCGGUGUCGAAGGCGCCACUCUGGGCCGAAACUGACGCUGAGGAGCGAAAGCGUGGGUAGCAAACA